rnacentral:lncRNA from 1 species
CUGGCCACGCGGAGCACCCAGCCAGCUGCUGCAACCCGCUGCCCUCUGGUGUCCUGCUGUGGGAGCUUUGUUCUUUCACUCUCGUAAUAAGUCUUGCUGCUGCUCACUCUUUGGGUCCGCACUGUCUCUGUGAGCUGUAACACUCACCGCGAGGUUCUGUGCCUUCGUUCUUUAAGUCAGGGAGACCACGAACCCACCGGGAGGAACAAACAACUGUGAUGCGCCAUCUUUAAGAGCUGUAACAUUCACCGCCGGGGUCUGCGGCUUCAUUCCUGGAGUGAGUGAGACCACGAACCCACCAGAAGGAAGAAACUCUGGACCCAUCUGAACAGCUGAAGGAACAAACUCCGGACACACCAUCUUUAAGAACUGUAACACUCACCGGGAGUCUCCGUGGCUUCAUUCUUGAAGACAGCGAGACCAAGAACCCACCAGAAGGAAUGAAUUCCGCACACAGCAACAGCACAAAGUUAAACCAGGAAGUCCCUCUGCCUUGCUAGGGAUCCAGGUUUGCCUUCCUGUUGAGGUAUCCCAUUUCAUUACAGUUGACCUAAGUUUGAACAAACACUGCCACCUGAUGCAUGAAAGCUCUACUGUGACCUACGUUAAAAGGAGCUGACACUCCCUCAGGCUACCUUAGUCAGUGGGGGCUUACUGCAGCAUACCUGUGGCGAUGAGAGAGAGAGGCACAUCACAGGAGCAUCUGGCACCAGUGGCAUCCUGAAUUUAAGAUGAAACAAUAGAGAAAGAACCAAGAAGUUACAUACAUUCAUCAGAAUUGCUGGAGAGUCCUGACCUCUGGCCAUCGAUCAAAGGGAAGCGUUCACUACUGAAGGUUUGUCUUCACUGUACUGGGUAUUCAACUUCCUUGAAAUUAAAAGGAAGAAGGAUAAAAAGUGGUAUGCUGAAUGGAUUAAAGCCUUGUUUCAACUCUUUAAUGAGUGGACUAUUCUCUGAAGCUGGCCCUCAGUCUUACUCUGGGUUCAUCAACCAAGGUCAAGAUCUGUCCACAUGCACGUAACAGGAGCACUUUUCCGAGAAUUGUAAAGGAGCCACGGUGCAAAGCCUUCUGGACCUGGGUCUCAUGUGAAAACUCAGCAAUGAGCCUCCUGGCCUGAGAUGAGCCUGCGGAGCACCUUGUUACAGCACGCAUAUGAUGUAUAUAAAAAAUGAACACAUGUAUUCCAAUUACACUGAUUUGAUCUUUACAAACUAUAUGGAUGUAUUAAAUUGUCACAUGUACCCUCAAAAUAUGUACAUCUAUUAUGUAUCAAUAAAAUAAUUAACAUAUUUUUAACUUGUUUUUGGUAGAGCCGUAACAUCUGGGGAGCAAUUAAUUGCAGAAGCAAUUAAUCUGGCUAUUGACUGAUAUUUACUCAGGACAAGGAAAACUAUCAUUACUAAGUAAGAUGUGCAAGAAAGAUUAAUUCACAGUAAGCAAGAUUUUUGUAGCUUGUACUGCUAUAAAUUUGUAUUACUGACUGACAUUGGGACCAUCUACAUGUAAAUCCUACAAAUCAGGACAGAACAGUGACCUCCUCAAGUGCUCAUCAUACUUAUCUCAGUUUCCAGAAGUCAGCAAUCAAUCUGAAAAGCUCUCUUAAAGGAGAAAGGAUGCAAAACAAAACAAAUUACUCAGAAAAAGAUGAUGGAAACUACAUCACCAUAAAAAGUUGAAAGAGGUUGGACGCAGUGGCUCACACCUGUAAUCCCAGCACUUUGGGAGGCCGA